GUUUUUAUAAUUUAUUUAAAAUAUUGGUCUUGUAAAUCAAAAAUAAGAAUUUUCUUUAAGAACU
rnacentral:tRNA from 1 species